AGUGAACGCUGGCGGUAGGCCUAACACAUGCAAGUCGAACGGCAGCACAGUAAGAGCUUGCUCUUACGGGUGGCGAGUGGCGGACGGGUGAGGAAUACAUCGGAAUCUACUUUUUCGUGGUGGAUAACGUAGGGAAACUUACGCUAAUACCGCACACGACCUACGGGUGAAAGCAGGGGAUCUUCGUACCUUGCGCGAUUGAAUGAGCCGAUGUGGGAUUUGCUAGUUGGCGGGGUAAAGGCCCACCAAGCCGAGGCUACGUUGAUGGUCUGAGCGGAUGGUCAGCCACACUGGAACGGAGCCGAGGUCCAGACCACUCCGGGAGGGGGCAGUGGGGAAUAUUAGACAAUGGGAGCAAGCCUGGUCCAGCCAUGCCGCGUGGGUUAAAAAGGCCCUCGGGUUGUGAAGCCAUUUUGUUGGGAAAGAAAAGCAGCAGGUUAAUACCCCGCUGUUCUGACGGUACCCAAAGAAUAAGCACCGGCUAACUUCGUG
rnacentral:rRNA from 1 species